rnacentral:misc_RNA from 1 species
UUUCCGUAGGUGAACCUGCGGAAGGAUCAUUACAGAGUUCAUGCCCUACCGGGUAGAUCUCCCACCCUAUGUUAUUAUUACUUUGUUGCUUUGGCGGGCCGUUAGGCUCCGGCCCGACUACCGGCCCCGGCUGGUAAGCGCCCGCCAGAGGACCCAAAACCCUGAAUAUUAGUGUCGUCUGAGUACUAUAUAAUAGUUAAAACUUUCAACAACGGAUCUCUUGGUUCUG